rnacentral:rRNA from 1 species
UACAGAGGGGGCAAGCGUUGUUCGGAAUUACUGGGCGUAAAGGGCGCGUAGGCGGCCUUCUAAGUCGAACGUGAAAUCCCCGGGCUCAACCCGGGAACUGCGUCCGAUACUGGAAGGCUUGAAUCCGGGAGAGGGAUGCGGAAUUCCAGGUGUAGCGGUGAAAUGCGUAGAUAUCGGGAGGAACACCUGUGGCGAAGGCGGCCGACUGGGCCGACCCUGACGCUGAGGCGCGAAGGCGUGGGGAGCGAACGGG